rnacentral:rRNA from 1 species
GGUUAAGCGACUAAGCGUACACGGUGGAUGCCCUGGCAGUCAGAGGCGAUGAAGGACGUGCUAAUCUGCGAAAAGCGUCGGUAAGGUGAUAUGAACCGUUAUAACCGGCGAUGUCCGAAUGGGGAAACCCAGUGCAAUUCGUUGCACUAUCGUUAACUGAAUACAUAGGUUAACGAGGCGAACCGGGGGAACUGAAACAUCUAAGUACCCCGAGGAAAAGAAAUCAACCGAGAUUCCCCCAGUAGCGGCGAGCGAACGGGGAGCAGCCCAGAGUCUGAAUCAGCUUGUGUGUUAGUGGAACGGUCUGGAAAGUCCGACGGUACAGGGUGAUAGUCCCGUACACCAAAAUGCACAGGCUGUGAACUCGAAGAGUAGGGCGGGACACGUGGUAUCCUGUCUGAAUAUGGGGGACCAUCCUCCAAGGCUAAAUACUCCUGACUGACCGAUAGUGAACCAGUACCGUGAGGGAAAGGCGAAAAGAACCCCGGCGAGGGGAGUGAAAAAGAACCUGAAACCGUGUACGUACAAGCAGUGGGAGCACCUUCGGGUGUGACUGCGUACCUUUUGUAUAAUGGGUCAGCGACUUAUAUUCUGUAGCAAGGUUAACCGUAUAGGGGAGCCGCAGGGAAACCGAGUCUUAACUGGGCGUUAAGUUGCAGGGUAUAGACCCGAAACCCGGUGAUCUAGCCAUGGGCAGGUUGAAGGUUGGGUAACACUAACUGGAGGACCGAACCGACUAAUGUUGAAAAAUUAGCGGAUGACUUGUGGCUGGGGGUGAAAGGCCAAUCAAACCGGGAGAUAGCUGGUUCUCCCCGAAAGCUAUUUAGGUAGCGCCUCGUGAACUCAUCUUCGGGGGUAGAGCACUGUUUCGGCUAGGGGGUCAUCCCGACUUACCAACCCGAUGCAAACUACGAAUACCGAAGAAUGUUAUCACGGGAGACACACGGCGGGUGCUAACGUCCGUCGUGAAGAGGGAAACAACCCAGACCGCCAGCUAAGGUCCCAAAGUCAUGGUUAAGUGGGAAACGAUGUGGGAAGGCACAGACAGCCAGGAUGUUGGCUUAGAAGCAGCCAUCAUUUAAAGAAAGCGUAAUAGCUCACUGGUCGAGUCGGCCUGCGCGGAAGAUGUAACGGGGCUAAACCAUGCACCGAAGCUGCGGCAGCGACACUAUGUGUUGUUGGGUAGGGGAGCGUUCUGUAAGCCUGCGAAGGUGACCUGUGAGGGUUGCUGGAGGUAUCAGAAGUGCGAAUGCUGACAUAAGUAACGAUAAAGCGGGUGAAAAGCCCGCUCGCCGGAAGACCAAGGGUUCCUGUCCAACGUUAAUCGGGGCAGGGUGAGUCGACCCCUAAGGCGAGGCCGAAAGGCGUAGUCGAUGGGAAACAGGUUAAUAUUCCUGUACUUGGUGUUACUGCGAAGGGGGGACGGAGAAGGCUAUGUUAGCCGGGCGACGGUUGUCCCGGUUUAAGCAUGUAGGCUGGUUGUCCAGGCAAAUCCGGAUAAUCAAGGCUGAGGUGUGAUGACGAGGCACUACGGUGCUGAAGUAACAAAUGCCCUGCUUCCAGGAAAAGCCUCUAAGCAUCAGGUAACAUUAAAUCGUACCCCAAACCGACACAGGUGGUCAGGUAGAGAAUACCAAGGCGCUUGAGAGAACUCGGGUGAAGGAACUAGGCAAAAUGGUGCCGUAACUUCGGGAGAAGGCACGCUGGUGUGUAGGUGAAGUCCCUGCGGAUGGAGCUGAGACCAGUCGAAGAUACCAGCUGGCUGCAACUGUUUAUUAAAAACACAGCACUGUGCAAACACGAAAGUGGACGUAUACGGUGUGACGCCUGCCCGGUGCCGGAAGGUUAAUUGAUGGGGUUAUCCGUAAGGAGAAGCUCUUGAUCGAAGCCCCGGUAAACGGCGGCCGUAACUAUAACGGUCCUAAGGUAGCGAAAUUCCUUGUCGGGUAAGUUCCGACCUGCACGAAUGGCGUAAUGAUGGCCAGGCUGUCUCCACCCGAGACUCAGUGAAAUUGAACUCGCUGUGAAGAUGCAGUGUACCCGCGGCAAGACGGAAAGACCCCGUGAACCUUUACUAUAGCUUGACACUGAACAUUGAGCCUUGAUGUGUAGGAUAGGUGGGAGGCUUUGAAGCGUGGACGCCAGUCUGCGUGGAGCCAACCUUGAAAUACCACCCUUUAAUGUUUGAUGUUCUAACGUUGGCCCCUGACCGGGGUUGCGGACAGUGUCUGGUGGGUAGUUUGACUGGGGCGGUCUCCUCCCAAAGCGUAACGGAGGAGCACGAAGGUUAGCUAAUCCUGGUCGGACAUCAGGAGGUUAGUGCAAUGGCAUAAGCUAGCUUGACUGCGAGCGUGACGGCGCGAGCAGGUGCGAAAGCAGGUCAUAGUGAUCCGGUGGUUCUGAAUGGAAGGGCCAUCGCUCAACGGAUAAAAGGUACUCCGGGGAUAACAGGCUGAUACCGCCCAAGAGUUCAUAUCGACGGCGGUGUUUGGCACCUCGAUGUCGGCUCAUCACAUCCUGGGGCUGAAGUAGGUCCCAAGGGUAUGGCUGUUCGCCAUUUAAAGUGGUACGCGAGCUGGGUUUAGAACGUCGUGAGACAGUUCGGUCCCUAUCUGCCGUGGGCGCUGGAGAAUUGAGGGGGGCUGCUCCUAGUACGAGAGGACCGGAGUGGACGCAUCACUGGUGUUCGGGUUGUCAUGCCAAUGGCACUGCCCGGUAGCUAAAUGCGGAAGAGAUAAGUGCUGAAAGCAUCUAAGCACGAAACUUGCCCCGAGAUGAGUUCUCCCUGAGACUUUAAGUCUCCUGAAGGAACGUUAAAGACGAUGACGUUGAUAGGCCGGGUGUGUAAGCGCAGCGAUGCGUUGAGCUAACCGGUACUAAUGAACCGUGAGGCUUAACCUU